rnacentral:rRNA from 1 species
UACAGAGGUCUCAAGCGUUGUUCGGAUUCAUUGGGCGUAAAGGGUGCGUAGGCGGUCGUGCAAGUCGGAUGUGAAAUCUCAGGGCUCAACCCUGAAACUGCAUUCGAUACUGCGCGGCUAGAGUGCUGGAGGGGAGACUGGAAUUUACGGUGUAGCAGUGAAAUGCGUAGAUAUCUGGAGGAACACCGGUGGCGAAGGCGGCAUCCUGGACCAACACUGACACUGAGGAGCGAAAGCCAGGGGAGCAAACGGG